CGAACGGGUGAGUAAUGCGUGACCAACCUGCCCCAUGCUCCAGAAUAGCUCUUGGAAACGGGUGGUAAUGCUGGAUGCUCCAACUUGACGCAUGUCUUGUUGGGAAAGUGUUUAGUGGCAUGGGAUGGGGUCGCGUCCUAUCAGCUUGUAGGCGGGGUAAUGGCCCACCUAGGCUUCGACGGGUAGCCGGCCUGAGAGGGCGGACGGCCACAUUGGGACUGGGAUACGGCCCAGACUCCUACGGGAGGCAGCAGCC
rnacentral:rRNA from 1 species